rnacentral:rRNA from 1 species
AACGAGCGCUGGCGGCAUGCCUAACACAUGCAAGUCGAACGAGACCUUCGGGUCUAGUGGCGCACGGGUGCGUAACGCGUGGGAACCUGCCUUUAGGUUCGGGAUAACUCAGAGAAAUUUGAGCUAAUACCGGAUGAUGUCUUCGGACCAAAGAUUUAUCGCCUUUAGAUGGGCCCGCGUUGGAUUAGCUAGUUGGUGGGGUAAAGGCCUACCAAGGCGACGAUCCAUAGCUGGUCUGAGAGGAUGAUCAGCCACACUGGGACUGAGACACGGCCCAGACUCCUACGGGAGGCAGCAGUGGGGAAUAUUGGACAAUGGGCGAAAGCCUGAUCCAGCAAUGCCGCGUGAGUGAUGAAGGCCUUAGGGUUGUAAAGCUCUUUUACCCGAGAUGAUAAUGACAGUAUCGGGAGAAUAAGCUCCGGCUAACUCCGUG